CCUACGGGAGGCAGCAGUGGGGAAUAUUGGGCAAUGGGCGCAAGCCUGACCCAGCAACGCCGCGUGAAGGAAGAAGGCUUUCGGGUUGUAAACUUCUUUUAUCAGGGACGAAGCAAGUGACAGUACCAGUUGAAUAAGCCUCGGCUAACUACGUGCCAGCAGCCGCCGUAAUACGUAGGUGGCAAGCAGUAUCCGGAUGUACUGGGUUUAAAGGGCGUGUAGGCUGGAUUGCAAGUCAGAUGUGAAAACUAUGGGCUCAACCCAUAGCCUGCAUUUGAAACUGUACUUCGUGAGUGCUGGAGAGGCAAUCGGAAUGCGGGGGGUAGCGGUGAAAUGCGUAGAUAUACGGAGGAACACCAGUGGCGAAGGCGGAUUGCUGGACAGUCACUGACGCUGAGGCGCGAAAGCGUGGGGAGCAAACAGGAUUAGAUACCCUUGUAGUC
rnacentral:rRNA from 1 species